UACAGAGGUCUCAAGCGUUGUUCGGAUUCAUUGGGCGUAAAGGGCGCGUAGGCGGUCGACCAAGUCUGGGGUGAAAUCUUUCGGCUCAACCGGAAAAGUGCCCCCCGAUACUGGUGGCUAGAGGGAGAUAGGGGCAUGCGGAACUUCCGGUGGAGCGGUGAAAUGCGUAGAUAUCGGAAGGAACGCCGGUGGCGAAAGCGGCGUGCUGGAUCUCUUCUGACGCUGAGGCGCGAAAGCCAGGGGAGCAAACGGG
rnacentral:rRNA from 1 species